rnacentral:rRNA from 1 species
CAGUCGCCGCGGUAAUACGUAGGUGGCAAGCGUUGUCCGGAAUUAUCGGGCGUAAAGGGCUCGCAAGCGGUUUCUUAAGUCUGAUGUGAAAGCCCCCGGCUCAACCGGGGAGGGUCAUUGGAAACUGGGAAACUUGAGUGCAGAAGAGGAGAGUGGAAUUCCACGUGUAGCGGUGAAAUGCGUAGAGAUGUGGAGGAACACCAGUGGCGAAGGCGACUCUCUGGUCUGUAACUGACGCUGAGGAGCGAAAGCGUGGGGAGCGAACAGGAUUAGAUACCCCCGUAGUCCCUGUCUCUUAUAC